AUGGAUGUCUCUAUCAGAUUCAUGUGGAGCUACUUGGAGUCGUUGUUGGCCAUCAAAAAUGAUAAUGGUGCUGAUCCGGUGAAAGGCAUAUCGUAUAUGACCAUAGAUAUGUGGGGAAAGCCGACAGUACAAGUGCCCAAGUCGCCUAGAUGGGCUAAAUCGAGCCAGGGAUGGACUAAACUGAAUACGGAUGGCGCUUUUGUUUCGAGUGAUGAAGCUGGUGCGGGGAUGAUAUUGAGAGACUCUUCGGGGAAGAUCAUCUUCUCAGCGUGCAGAGCCUUAUAUUCUUGCAGGGAUGCGUUGAAGGCAGAGCUUUGUGCCUGUAUGGAGGGGUUGUCCUCGUCGAUUCAAUGA
rnacentral:rRNA from 1 species